rnacentral:rRNA from 1 species
AACGAACGCUGGCGGCAUGCCUAACACAUGCAAGUCGAACGAGACCUUCGGGUCUAGUGGCGCACGGGUGCGUAACGCGUGGGAACCUGCCUUUAGGUUCGGAAUAACUCAGAGAAAUUUGAGCUAAUACCGGAUGAUGUCUUCGGACCAAAGAUUUAUCGCCUUUAGAUGGGCCCGCGUUGGAUUAGCUAGUUGGUGGGGUAAAGGCCUACCAAGGCGACGAUCCAUAGCUGGUCUGAGAGGAUGAUCAGCCACACUGGGACUGAGACACGGCCCAGACUCCUACGGGAGGCAGCAGUGGGGAAUAUUGGACAAUGGGCGAAAGCCUGAUCCAGCAAUGCCGCGUGAGUGAUGAAGGCCUUAGGGUUGUAAAGCUCUUUUACCCGAGAUGAUAAUGACAGUAUCGGGAGAAUAAGACUCCGGCUAACUCCGUG